GAUAUAAUCUAUCAUAACUGACAUGAACAGCAUUGCGAGAGAAGAUCUUUACAGAGCAUUGAAUGACCUCCUUGAGGAGCAAUUUGAAGAAUUUAAAUGGCGGCUAAUAUGUAUUGACCACAGUGGAAAGCCAAACAUUCCUCCAGCUUCAUUGGAGAAAGCUAAUCGACAAGAAGUUGUAGAUCUUCUGAUUCAAAAUUAUGUGGAAGGUGCUCCAGAAGUGUGCAUUCGUGUCCUUCAAAAAAGCAAUAUAAAUGAUGUUGCUAAAAAACUUGAAGAAACUUUACAGAAAGUUGCAGAUGCUGAUGCUCCCCAACCACCAGAUUCAUCAGAUUACAGAAACUACAUUAAAAACAAUUUUCAAACGAUUAAAGAUCCUAAUGCUGUUCCUGGUGAAUAUGUGCUCCUGAAUCAGAGAUACUCAAAGCUAAUCAUCCUAGAUUAUUAUCGGUCUAAAAAGGAGCGAGAACAUGAAAUUCUGGCAACAGGAAGAAAACAUGUUGAAAUCAUCAGCAAGAUUGCUGAGUCUUCAGCCAGUGUUGAAACAUUAUUUAACCGUGGUAAACAUGGACUAAUUCCACAAAUUGUUGUGUUGCAAGGAGCUGCAGGAAUUGGAAAAACCACAAUGGCCAAAAAAAUGAUGUUGGAUUGGGCUUCUCAGCAACUUUACCAUGAUAAAUUUAAUUAUGUUUUCUAUAUUUACUGUAGAGAGAUGAAUCUCCAUGCAGAGUCAGAGAAGAGUAGCAUUGCAGAGAUAAUUUCAAAACAGUGGCCCAGGUGUCAGGAAGUGAAAAGUGUCAUUGAAAAUAUACUGAAGAAUGAAGAGAAGCUUCUAUUCAUAAUUGAUGGGUUUGAUGAAUUAAGGUAUUCCUUUGAUCGGUAUGAAGAUUCCUUUUGCUUUGAUCCAUGGAAGGAGGAGCCAGUAAAAAUUAUUUUAAGAAGUUUAUUUCAAAAAAAGCUUCUUCCUGAAUCCUCUCUUAUAAUCACAACAAGACCUACUGCUUUAGACAAAUUCCAUCGAUGUUUAAAACAUCCACAUUUUUUUCAGAUAUUGGGGUUUUCUAGAAAGGAUAGGGAAGAAUAUUUCUACAAAUUCUUUGAAAACAAAGACCAAGCAACUCAAGCUUUAAGAUUUGUGAAACAAAAUGAUACCCUUUUCACCAUGUGUGUCAUUCCCCUUGUGAGCUGGAUCAUCUGCACAGUGAUGAAACAAGAGAUGGAGAGAGGUAUGAAUCUUCAGAAGACACCAUGCACUCUUACUGCAAUCUAUAUGCGGUAUCUGUCCAGUUUGUUAGAUUUUCAUCACCAAGAAUCCAAACAGGAUGUCCAAAGAAAGUUAAAGACUUUCUGCUCUUUGGCUGCAGAAGGCAUGUGGAAACAGCAAAUACUGUUUAUGGAAGAAGAUGUCAAGAAGCACACUUUGGAUCAGGAUGACCUCUUCCCCCUCUUUCUGAAUCAGAACAUCUUCAAAAGGGACAUUCACUGUAUUCAAACCUUCAGCUUCAUUCACUUAAGUUUCCAGGAGUUUUUUGCUGCUUUGUUUUAUGUUUUAGAAGAUGGAGAAGAACAGCGUUCUCAAAACCCAGAUAAAAAUUUAUUGACACUUUUACAUAGGCAUAGUAUAUUUUCUCAGACUGAUUUUGCAGUAGGAUUUCACUUCCUUUUUGGUCUUCUAAAUGAAGAAAAUAGAAUGAAAGAGUUGAAAAAUAAAUUUGGAUGGGAAAUUUCUAGUUAGAAUAAAGAAUUAUUAUUAGACUGGGUGAAAGAAAUGAUUGACAGAAGAAUUUAUAGGAUUGAAUCUGGGUCAAUCACCGGGAAUGAUCUAGACUGGGUCAUGCAACAUUAUCCUGAGACAUAUAUAGAUAAAUUCUUUCAUAAAAGAAUUUAUUUCUAUAUGGAAACAGCAAUACUUAGUUAUUUGUAUGAGACACAAGAUGAGAAUUUUGUAAAAGAUGCACUAUGUGCUGUCACCACAAUGGAGUAUCACUGCAAUUCAAAUACAGAACUGAUGAUCCUGGCCUAUUGCUUACAACAUUGCCAGAAUUUGCAGAAGCUCUGUGUUCGAGGCCCUACAUCUAUAUAUCCAACAGAGAAAGAAAUGUUUCUUCUAGAACAUAGGCAAUGUGGUUUGGAUGAAGUAUGUAUGGAAGAUUUCUUUCAAUCACUGACAAAGCUGAGAAACCUAAGAGUCCUGAGAUUGGAAAAAUGGUCCUUUACACAGUCCUGCAGCAAGCAACUUGUUGAAGUCUUUAAGACAAACCAGAAGUUGAAGGAGUUUAAUUUAUUCCUCAAAGACACAAAUGAGAGAGCAAUGGAAUUACUGUGUGAGGGGCUCCGACAUCCAGACUGUGAAAUAGAAAUACUAGAGGUUGGUGGAGAGGCCAUGACCGAAUAUCUUGCAGAAGUAUUCAGAAGAAACCAGAGUUUAAGAGAUUUAAAGUUGUGGCUAUUCUGUCCAAAAUACAGAGUAGUGAGAAGUCUGUGUGAGGGGCUCCAGGACCCAGACUGUAGAGUAGAAAAA